rnacentral:rRNA from 1 species
UAGGGAAUCUUCGGCAAUGGACGAAAGUCUGACCGAGCAACGCCGCGUGAGUGAAGAAGGUUUUCGGAUCGUAAAACUCUGUUGUUAGAGAAGAACAAGGACGUUAGUAACUGAACGUCCCCUGACGGUAUCUAACCAGAAAGCCACGGCUAACUACGUGCCAGCAGCCGCGGUAAUACGUAGGUGGCAAGCGUUGUCCGGAUUUAUUGGGCGUAAAGCGAGCGCAGGCGGUUUCUUAAGUCUGAUGUGAAAGCCCCCGGCUCAACCGGGGAGGGUCAUUGGAAACUGGGAGACUUGAGUGCAGAAGAGGAGAGUGGAAUUCCAUGUGUAGCGGUGAAAUGCGUAGAUAUAUGGAGGAACAUCAGUGGCGAAGGCGGCUCUCUGGUCUGUAACUGACGCUGAGGCUCGAAAGCGUGGGGAGCAAACAGG